rnacentral:lncRNA from 1 species
AGAAUUGUAAGACCUUAUUAUAAUUCCAUAACCAAGAACACAAAAUCUCUCAAAUCUCUUUGAUAUUUUGUUCAAGAACAUGGCUUACUGUGGAUACCCAGAGGCUUAUCCACAUGCAUAUCCACCGAAUCCACCAACUUAUUCACAGGUUCCACAGACUUAUUCACAUGCUCCACCAACUUACCCACAACCUCCAUCAGUUUAUCCACAGGUUCCGCCGGCUUAUCCACAACCUCCACCGCCGGCUUAUCCAUACCCUCCACCGGCUUAUCCACAAGCUCCACCGGUUCCAGCGACCUAUCUAUAUACUCCACAACCUUAUUUGCAGGCUCCACCAAUGUAUCCACAUGUUAAUCCAAGACCACAAAAACCUAAGAGGAGUCGUUUUGAAAGAUUGGGAUUAAAAGUAGGGUUGAUUGGAGUUGCAUGUGCAAUAACCAGUGGGGUGACUGGAGUUGAACAUAUGAUUUAUGAUGCUUUUGUUGGUGAUGAUGAUGAUGAUGAUGAGGAUGGUUUUGAAACUUAAUUGUUUUUACUUUUGGAAUAUAUAUCAUAUACCUACUAGCAGAUAGAAUAGACACUCUAACAUGUUCUUCUAUCCGCUUUUCUUUGCAUUUAAGGUGUAUUUGAUUAAAAUACCCCAUCCGUCUUAAAUUGUAUGUCAUUUUAGGAAAAAAAAUUGUCCCAAAUUGUAUGUCACUUUACAAUACCAAUGAAAUAUUAAUGUUACUUUUCCUAUUAUAUCCUUAAUUAUUUAUUACUCUUUCUUCUUUCAAUUCUUUCAUUUAUCUUUCCCAUAUCAUUUAUUAAGGACAAUUUUGUAAAACAACUCAUAAUAUCUAUUUCCCACACAAUAUUAAUUACAUUUCUUAAUAUGUGUUAAAUGCCCAAAACGUCAUGCAAUUUGGGAUGGAGGGAGUAAGUUAUAAGCCAGUGAUAAGGAGGAUUUUUCCUAUCCUGGUACAAUAGUAAGUAUUAUGUAUGUUUCUUUAAAAAUAAAUUAUGGAACCUUAUUCGCGCACAAUAUUAAGUAUUAUGUAAACAAAGUUUUACAAAAGCUUUUUCUUAACAGGAUUAGAUUUCAUCAAUAACAAUUAUUCCUCGUAUUUUUCAUUCUAAUCGAUUAUAUAUUUUUUUAUGCUUCAAAUAUAACUCGAGAUAUACUUCAGUAUACAUCUCCAAUUCUGAUUAAGGAUGUGAGAUCUAUUGAAUCCACCGAAUUAUGAUGCUCGAUGGCAACAUAGUCGAUUGCAUAGUUUUAAAAAUCGGCUUGGACCGGUCCAACCAGAAAUCGGUGGGGUAUCCUGUUCGGUCUGCAUGAUGGAUCGGCUAUGCAGUUAAACCGAUGGGAACCGGGUGAAAAUCAGCAAAACUCGGGAAAAACCGGUGACAUUGUGGGUUAAUGUGAACCGGGCAAGUCAACAGCAUUUGACCGCACAUCCAAAUUAACUUUUAAAAAAAUUUUAAAUUUGGCAUAGGUGGGACUUGAACACAGGACCAACUACUAGCGUGACCCUUUUUUAUUUUUUUUUUUAAUUUAUUUAUUAUUGUUUUGAGCUAAACACAAUAGAUAGAGGAAGAGAGAAAGAUUAAUAAGACGAUACCAAUUUUUUGCAAGUGUACGAAAUCAUGUAAUUAGUAAAGUUAAAACGGAAAAACAAGUGUUGAACUCGAGGACUGCGUCAUAUUGUCGAAUUGUAUAUUUUAAAACUUAAUUGAACAAAAAGAUACGAGUGUGUUGUUUGUAAUUUUUGCUACUACGAAAAUUGAAUAAAAGUCAGUUAUAAUCUAAAUGUGUUAGCAUGAGUACGGCUUGGUUACAAACUUUACACUAUUAAUCUCAUCCUAUAAAUUUAAUUCAUUAUUCAUGUUAUUAUCAGUUUCUUAGAUUGUUUAAUUCUAAUCUAUUGGUGAUUAAACCUUUAACCUUGAGAUAACCCUUAAUUCAUCUCUUAGUGAAUUUUAAAUCAAUAUAAAACUACAAAUAUUUGAAAAUAUAAUAAUUUCAAGGGUUCACAACUAUAUAUAGACUACGAUAGUAAGAACAUAUUUAAUCUCAAAUAUUCACAAAUUUCAAUCUCGUUUUAAAUUGUAAAUCUUACAUGAAUUUAAGGUUGGACAAACAAUAAUAAGCAUUAAGGUCAUGUUUUGUCAAUACAACUCAUCCAUAACAAGAGAAAAAAAUAUCUACCCAUAAUAUUAGUCAAAUAUAUCGGGUGUACCAUAGAAUUUGCCAAUUAAAUCACCCCUCACCCUAAUUCUUCCUUUGUCGUUAGUAACUUAUGUUAGUGUCUCUCUUCAGAAACCAAUGUCCUCAAGUCAAUCACGUGAUUUUCUAAUUAUUCAUGUCCAUCUAAUUUGUUGUGGUGGAACAAUGAUAAAGAAGUGUCAAGGAAUUAUAUGAACCAAUGGUGCAUUUAGGAGAGGGGACCGCGUGAACAUAGAGAGAAGUCAGAAUGUACAAGACUCCAUGCGUACAUUGGAGUGUAUUUUGUGGUGGUUUAUUUGAUGCCACCAGUAAGAUACUUUUGGCAACUAUGUUGAGAAAAGUUCAGUAAAAUAUCUCUGGCAACCAUGUUGAGAAAAGUCCAGUAACAUAUCUCUGGCAACCAUGUUGAGAAAAAUCCAAUAAUAUAACUCUGGCAAAAUGAUGAGUAAGUGUGGUACCACAUUCAUAUAGAUCUUAGGACUGAGUCCAUAUGCAUACAAAUUCAUGAUGAUCUGUAUUUGGUGAAUAAGUGUUACUGUGUCUGUGUGCAACGACGAAGGUGAUUAUCUGUUGAGGUUCUUAUGAAGAUUGUUAUUGGUGACUAUUUUAGAAUUGAAUUGUGACAUUGUGUUUGUGAAGAUUUUGGUUCUUAUUCCGUAAUGAUAUUUUUUAUUGAUGUGGAUUGCGUUGAUAUAGUAUAUACUUCAAGGUUCUGAAUAUUGUGUUAGUGAUGUAAUACGACUUUAACUUAAUUGCUUACGUGUUCUUCUCGUUUAUUUUAUACUUUUACAUGUUCUCGAAACUCACCUCUUCGUUGUUUGUGUUUGCUGGCUUGGCCCUGCGGUUGCGAAACCGUAGUUCUAUAGGUUGUGAGUCUUGGAGUCACGUACAUGCCUUCCAUGAAGACUUGUCUCAUGUCGUCUGUUAUUUUGGGGGGAAACACCGCUCUGAUAGUGACACGGGAAAAGGGAUAUGCUUACUUAUUUAAUUUUGUACAAGAAAAUCAUUGCUUGUGAUGUAAUAGAAAUUAUUUUCAAAAGCAAAAGAUUCAAUGUUAAUAUUAUAAUAAUUUUCAAGGAAGGGAAAUUUGAAUUAUGUUUGUUAUGAGUCAAUGUGAUAUCCUAAAUCUUGCAAAAGAAUUCUUAUAUUAAUAGAAAAGUUUUUAUUUGACAUUUUCUGCCGUGAAUCAAACUCUGUUUUUCGAAUGAAUAAUAGUAAUAUUUAUUUUUGGGACUUAGGGUGUCACACUUUCCAUCCCUUUCGGUUUCGAAUAGAGCGGUUAUGUACCGUCCUGAGUGGCUUUAAUCGUUCAAUUAAACCAUAUUUUGAGGUGUAUAUCUCGAGCGAUUAUAUACUGUGCAGUAUGUAAUCGUAACAGUGAUCUGGGCUGUUUUAUCCUGGAGACGGCGUGGUUGUUAGUUUACUUUGCAUAAUUUAAGUAGUGCCGCCAAACAUGUUAAAGUGAGCAACCUGAUCGUGACUCAACCCGAUAAUUCCUUUAGUAGUGGUUCUGAUUUUUAAACACAAAAAUAACAGAAACUCAUGUUAGUUAGUUUUACAAUGUUCAAGACAAAGUGACAAACAAAUCCUUCAAUGCAGUAAACCACACUACCGCAAAAGUUGACAAAAUCAAGGGGAGAACUAUUAUAAAGUACUAUAAUAAAUAUACACACACUCACACACCUUAAAUUUUCAAGUAAAUAACACCUCCAUCUAGAAAAUUGUUGUAUACACAUGUUGUUUGGCUGAGAAACACAUGUAAAAGACAAAAAUACCCUUCGGUAGUUAACUGUCGAGGAAAAAUAAAACCGGCUGCAGUUAUCUACCGAGGAAAACCUCGGCAGUUAACUACCGAGGAAAAGAAAAUUUCAAAAAUAAAUCUCCUUCGGCACUUAAGUACCAAGGAGUUGUUUCUAGGUUUUUAAUAUCAAGCCUAAUAGGCAAGUUAGCAACUAUAGUUUCUUACGGUUUUUAUUUAUUUAUUAUUAUCAUGUUAUAGGUAAGUUAGCAACUAUAUACCCGUCCCCCGUCCCAUACCCAUGUUUCGAGAUCGGGGAAAACUCAUACCCAUACCCAAACCCAGUCAAAACGGGGAAAACCCGUCAAAUUGAGUUUGGUUUGGACGGGUAACCACGGGUAUGGGUUUUGUUGCCAUGCCUAUCCAUAAGUCUGCGCAUCUUCCUAAUGUGUUUCGUCCAUUCCUAUUUUGAAGGCACAAUAAUUGCAUUAUUUUUUGGGAAGUACUCAGCAUCUCUUACUCAUAAAAUUCUGCGCACCUUCCUAAUGUUUUUCGUCCAUUCCUAUUUUGAAGGCAAAAUAAUUGCAUUAUUUUUUGGAAAGUACUCAGCAUCUCUUACUCAUAAAGUCUGAGCACCUUUCUAAUGUGUUUCGUCCAUUCCUAUUUUGAAGGCGCAAUAAUUGCAUUAUUUUUUGGAAAGUACUCAUCAUCUCUUACUCAUAGAAGUCUGCGCACCUUCCUAAUGUGUUUCGUCCAUUCCUUGAUAUGUAUUGGAUACUCUCCUGAUAUAUCGAGCAGAGAUAUCAAUGUAUCAUACAUAUCAAAUACUAGUAUUUCAUCAAUUUUAAAGUAUCGCGGCUUAAAAUUAAUCACUAAAUUUAGCCAUCGAAACUAUGCACGGAUGUCUUGUUUCGAAAUUUAGUUAUUGUGUACACUAAAUUAAAAGUCUUUAUUGAGUCAAAUAGGGCAUCUAUUAGGGUUUAAAUGCAUGCAUAAUCUAUGAUUAAUUUAACUGUAUUACUCCUAUUUAAUUAACCCUAUUUAAUUUAAUCAAAAUGUUAUGUUAUGCAAAGCAAAAUAAACAAAUCUCUUAAAUUAUUUCCUAAUUAUUUGCAUGAAAUAUUAAAUGCUUGGUAAAUUCGAUUCAUGCUUAUCUAAAUAAUUAAUCAACAAAUUAAUAUUAAGGGGGAUAUUCAGGGAUGAAAGGAGUAGUUCCUUAAAUAUCAUUUUCAUUAAAAAUAUUUAUUGUGUACACUUUGUAUGUUAGAUCUUUUGUCUUUUUGUGGGUCUCAAUUAUAGGUAGGAAUCAAAACCUAAUUGAGCAGUGAAGUACCACGAAGAUGGGAAGAGUGGAAAAAAAUCUCACGCGCAAUUCCAUAAUAUUUUGUUUUUUUUCUUUCUUUCUCAAUACAUAUACCUUAUUACAACAUCGUAAACAUGCAAGAAUUGUAAGACCUUAUUAUAAUUCCAUAACCAAGAACACAAAAUCUCUCAAAUCUCUUUGAUAUUUUGUUCAAGAACAUGGCUUACUGUGGAUACCCAGAGGCUUAUCCACAUGCAUAUCCACCGAAUCCACCAACUUAUUCACAGGUUCCACAGACUUAUUCACAUGCUCCACCAACUUACCCACAACCUCCAUCAGUUUAUCCACAGGUUCCGCCAGCUUAUCCACAACCUCCACCGCCGGCUUAUCCAUACCCUCCACCGGCUUAUCCACAAGCUCCACCGGUUCCAGCGACCUAUCUAUAUACUCCACAACCUUAUUUGCAGGCUCCACCAAUGUAUCCACAUGUUAAUCCAAGACCACAAAAACCUAAGAGGAGUCGUUUUGAAAGAUUGGGAUUAAAAGUAGGGUUGAUUGGAGUUGCAUGUGCAAUAACCAGUGGGGUGACUGGAGUUGAACAUAUGAUUUAUGAUGCUUUUGUUGGUGAUGAUGAUGAUGAUGAUGAGGAUGGUUUUGAAACUUAAUUGUUUUUACUUUUGGAAUAUAUAUCAUAUACCUACUAGCAGAUAGAAUAGACACUCUAACAUGUUCUUCUAUCCGCUUUUCUUUGCAUUUAAGGUGUAUUUGAUUAAAAUACCCCAUCCGUCUUAAAUUGUAUGUCAUUUUAGGAAAAAAAAUUGUCCCAAAUUGUAUGUCACUUUACAAUACCAAUGAAAUAUUAAUGUUACUUUUCCUAUUAUAUCCUUAAUUAUUUAUUACUCUUUCUUCUUUCAAUUCUUUCAUUUAUCUUUCCCAUAUCAUUUAUUAAGGACAAUUUUGUAAAACAACUCAUAAUAUCUAUUUCCCACACAAUAUUAAUUACAUUUCUUAAUAUGUGUUAAAUGCCCAAAACGUCAUGCAAUUUGGGAUGGAGGGAGUAAGUUAUAAGCCAGUGAUAAGGAGGAUUUUUCCUAUCCUGGUACAAUAGUAAGUAUUAUGUAUGUUUCUUUAAAAAUAAAUUAUGGAACCUUAUUCGCGCACAAUAUUAAGUAUUAUGUAAACAAAGUUUUACAAAAGCUUUUUCUUAACAGGAUUAGAUUUCAUCAAUAACAAUUAUUCCUCGUAUUUUUCAUUCUAAUCGAUUAUAUAUUUUUUUAUGCUUCAAAUAUAACUCGAGAUAUACUUCAGUAUACAUCUCCAAUUCUGAUUAAGGAUGUGAGAUCUAUUGAAUCCACCGAAUUAUGAUGCUCGAUGGCAACAUAGUCGAUUGCAUAGUUUUAAAAAUCGGCUUGGACCGGUCCAACCAGAAAUCGGUGGGGUAUCCUGUUCGGUCUGCAUGAUGGAUCGGCUAUGCAGUUAAACCGAUGGGAACCGGGUGAAAAUCAGCAAAACUCGGGAAAAACCGGUGACAUUGUGGGUUAGUGUGAACCGGGCAAGUCAACAGCAUUUGACCGCACAUCCAAAUUAACUUUUAAAAGAAUUUUAAAUUUGGCAUAGGUGGGACUUGAACACAGGACCAACUACUAGCGUGACCCUUUUUUAUUUUUUUUUAUUUAUUUAUUAUUGUUUUGAGCUAAACACAAUAGAUAGAGGAAGAGAGAAAGAUUAAUAAGACGAUACCAAUUUUUUGCAAGUGUACGAAAUCAUGUAAUUAGUAAAGUUAAAACGGAAAAACAAGUGUUGAACUCGAGGACCGCGUCAUAUUGUCGAAUUGUAUAUUUUAAAACUUAAUUGAACAAAAAGAUACGAGUGUGUUGUUUGUAAUUUUUGCUACUACGAAAAUUGAAUAAAAGUCAGUUAUAAUCUAAAUGUGUUAGCAUGAGUACGGCUUGGUUACAAACUUUACACUAUUAAUCUCAUCCUAUAAAUUUAAUUCAUUAUUCAUGUUACUAUCAGUUUCUUAGAUUGUUUAAUUCUAAUCUAUUGGUGAUUAAACCUUUAACCUUGAGAUAACCCUUAAUUCAUCUCUUAGUGAAUUUUAAAUCAAUAUAAAACUACAAAUAUUUGAAAAUAUAAUAAUUUCAAGGGUUCACAACUAUAUAUAGACUACGAUAGUAAGAACAUAUUUAAUCUCAAAUAUUCACAAAUUUCAAUCUCGUUUUAAAUUGUAAAUCUUACAUGAAUUUAAGGUUGGACAAACAAUAAUAAGCAUUAAGGUCAUGUUUUGUCAAUACAACUCAUCCAUAACAAGAGAAAAAAAUAUCUACCCAUAAUAUUAGUCAAAUAUAUCAGGUGUACCAUAGAAUUUGCCAAUUAAAUCACCCCUCACCCUAAUUCUUCCUUUGUCGUUAGUAACUUAUGUUAGUGUCUCUCUUCAGAAACCAAUGUCCUCAAGUCAAUCACGUGAUUUUCUAAUUAUUCAUGUCCAUCUAAUUUGUUGUGGUGGAACAAUGAUAAAGAAGUGUCAAGGAAUUAUAUGAACCAAUGGUGCAUUUAGGAGAGGGGACCGCGUGAACAUAGAGAGAAGUCAGAAUGUACAAGACUCCAUGCGUACAUUGGAGUGUAUUUUGUGGUGGUUUAUUUGAUGCCACCAGUAAGAUACUUUUGGCAACUAUGUUGAGAAAAGUUCAGUAAAAUAUUUCUGGCAACUAUGUUGAGAAAAGUCCAGUAACAUAUCUCUGGCAACCAUGUUGAGAAAAGUCCAAUAAUAUAACUCUGGCAAAAUGAUGAGUAAGUGUGGUACCACAUUCAUAUAGAUCUUAGGACUGAGUCCAUAUGCAUACAAAUUCAUGAUGAUCUGUAUUUGGUGAAUAAGUGUUACUGUGUCUGUGUGCAACGACGAAGGUGAUUAUCUGUUGAGGUUCUUAUGAAGAUUGUUAUUGGUGACUAUUUUAGAAUUGAAUUGUGACAUUGUGUUUGUGAAGAUUUUGGUUCUUAUUCCGUAAUGAUAUUUUUUAUUGAUGUGGAUUGCGUUGAUAUAGUAUAUACUUCAAGGUUCUGAAUAUUGUGUUAGUGAUGUAAUACGACUUUAACUUAAUUGCUUACGUGUUCUUCUCGUUUAUUUUAUACUUUUACAUGUUCUCGAAACUCACCUCUUCGUUGUUUGUGUUUGCUGGCUUGGCCCUGCGGUUGCGAAACCGUAGUUCUAUAGGUUUUGAGUCUUGGAGUCACGUACAUGCCUUCCAUGAAGACUUGUCUCAUGUCGUCUGUUAUUUUGGGGGGAAACACCGCUCUGAUAGUGACACGGGAAAAGGGAUAUGCUUACUUAUUUAAUUUUGUACAAGAAAAUCAUUGCUUGUGAUGUAAUAGAAAUUAUUUUCAAAAGCAAAAGAUUCAAUGUUAAUAUUAUAAUAAUUUUCAAGGAAGGGAAAUUUGAAUUAUGUUUGUUAUGAGUCAAUGUGAUAUCCUAAAUCUUGCAAAAGAAUUCUUAUAUUAAUAGAAAAGUUUUUAUUUGACAUUUUCUGCCGUGAAUCAAACUCUGUUUUUCGAAUGAAUAAUAGUAAUAUUUAUUUUUGGGACUUAGGGUGUCACACUUUCCAUCCCUUUCGGUUUCGAAUAGAGCGGUUAUGUACCGUCCUGAGUGGCUUUAAUCGUUCAAUUAAACCAUAUUUUGAGGUGUAUAUCUCGAGCGAUUAUAUACUGUGCAGUAUGUAAUCGUAACAGUGAUCUGGGCUGUUUUAUCCUGGAGACGGCGUGGUUGUUAGUUUACUUUGCAUAAUUUAAGUAGUGCCGCCAAACAUGUUAAAGUGAGCAACCUGAUCGUGACUCAACCCGAUAAUUCCUUUAGUAGUGGUUCUGAUUUUUAAACACAAAAAUAACAGAAACUCAUGUUAGUUAGUUUUACAAUGUUCAAGACAAAGUGACAAACAAAUCCUUCAAUGCAGUAAACCACACUACCGCAAAAGUUGACAAAAUCAAGGGGAGAACUAUUAUAAAGUACUAUAAUAAAUAUACACACACUCACACACCUUAAAUUUUCAAGUAAAUAACACCUCCAUCUAGAAAAUUGUUGUAUACACAUGUUGUUUGGCUGAGAAACACAUGUAAAAGACAAAAAUACCCUUCGGUAGUUAACUGUCGAGGAAAAUUAAAACCGGCUGCAGUUAUCUACCGAGGAAAACCUCGGCAGUUAACUACCGAGGAAAAGAAAAUUUCAAAAAUAAAUCUCCUUCGGCACUUAAGUACCAAGGAGUUGUUUCUAGGUUUUUAAUAUCAAGCCUAAUAGGCAAGUUAGCAACUAUAGUUUCUUACGGUUUUUAUUUAUUUAUUAUUAUCAUGUUAUAGGUAAGUUAGCAACUAUAUACCCGUCCCCCGUCCCAUACCCAUGUUUCGAGAUCGGGGAAAACUCAUACCCAUACCCAAACCCAGUCAAAACGGGGAAAACCCGUCAAAUUGAGUUUGGUUUGGACGGGUAACCACGGGUAUGGGUUUUGUUGCCAUGCCUAUCCAUAAGUCUGCGCAUCUUCCUAAUGUGUUUCGUCCAUUCCUAUUUUGAAGGCACAAUAAUUGCAUUAUUUUUUGGGAAGUACUCAGCAUCUCUUACUCAUAAAAUUCUGCGCACCUUCCUAAUGUUUUUCGUCCAUUCCUAUUUUGAAGGCAAAAUAAUUGCAUUAUUUUUUGGAAAGUACUCAGCAUCUCUUACUCAUAAAGUCUGAGCACCUUUCUAAUGUGUUUCGUCCAUUCCUAUUUUGAAGGCACAAUAAUUGCAUUAUUUUUUGGAAAGUACUCAUCAUCUCUUACUCAUAGAAGUCUGCGCACCUUCCUAAUGUGUUUCGUCCAUUCCUUGAUAUGUAUUGGAUACUCUCCUGAUAUAUGGAGCAGAGAUAUCAAUGUAUCAUACAUAUCAAAUACUAGUAUUUCAUCAAUUUUAAAGUAUCGCGGCUUAAAAUUAAUCACUAAAUUUAGCCAUCGAAACUAUGCACGGAUGUCUUGUUUCGAAAUUUAGUUAUUGUGUACACUAAAUUAAAAGUCUUUAUUGAGUCAAAUAGGGCAUCUAUUAGGGUUUAAAUGCAUGCAUAAUCUAUGAUUACUUUUACUGUAUUACUCGUAUUUAAUUAACCCUAUUUAAUUUAAUCAAAAUGUUAUGUUAUGCAAAGCAAAAUAAACAAAUCUCUUAAAUUAUUUCCUAAUUAUUUGCAUGAAAUAUUAAAUGCUUGGUAAAUUCGAUUCAUGCUUAUCUAAAUAAUUAAUCAACAAAUUAAUAUUAAGGGGGAUAUUCAGGGAUGAAAGGAGUAGUUCCUUAAAUAUCAUUUUCAUUAAAAAUAUUUAUUGUGUACACUUUGUAUGUUAGAUCUUUUGUCUUUUUGUGGGUCUCAAUUAUAGGUAGGAAUCAAAACCUAAUUGAGCAGUGAAGUACCACGAAGAUGGGAAGAGUGGAAAAAAAUCUCACGCGCAAUUCCAUAAUAUUUUGUUUUUUUUCUUUCUUUCUCAAUACAUAUACCUUAUUACAACAUCGUAAACAUGCAAGAAUUGUAAGACCUUAUUAUAAUUCCAUAACCAAGAACACAAAAUCUCUCAAAUCUCUUUGAUAUUUUGUUCAAAGAACAUGGCUUACUGUGGAUACCCAGAGGCUUAUCCACAUGCAUAUCCACCGAAUCCACCAACUUAUUCACAGGUUCCACAGACUUAUUCACAUGCUCCACCAACUUACCCACAACCUCCAUCAGUUUAUCCACAGGUUCCGCCAGCUUAUCCACAACCUCCACCGCCGGCUUAUCCAUACCCUCCACCGGCUUAUCCACAAGCUCCACCGGUUCCAGCGACCUAUCUAUAUACUCCACAACCUUAUUUGCAGGCUCCACCAAUGUAUCCACAUGUUAAUCCAAGACCACAAAAACCUAAGAGGAGUCGUUUUGAAAGAUUGGGAUUAAAAGUAGGGUUGAUUGGAGUUGCAUGUGCAAUAACCAGUGGGGUGACUGGAGUUGAACAUAUGAUUUAUGAUGCUUUUGUUGGUGAUGAUGAUGAUGAUGAUGAGGAUGGUUUUGAAACUUAAUUGUUUUUACUUUUGGAAUAUAUAUCAUAUACCUACUAGCAGAUAGAAUAGACACUCUAACAUGUUCUUCUAUCCGCUUUUCUUUGCAUUUAAGGUGUAUUUGAUUAAAAUACCCCAUCCGUCUUAAAUUGUAUGUCAUUUUAGGAAAAAAAAUUGUCCCAAAUUGUAUGUCACUUUACAAUACCAAUGAAAUAUGGAUUUUUCUAACAUGUGCAAAUUUGCACAUGUUAAGGAUACUAAAAGAAGCAACUUUUUAUUGAAAAUCACAGUUGUUAUUAAAAAGAAUAUAUAUUUAAUAUAAAAUACACAAGUUCCAAUAUAAACUUACUACUUUAAAUUUCUUAACAUGUGCAAAUUUGCACAUAUUAGAAAAAUCCAUGAAAUAUUAAUGUUACUUUUCCUAUUAU